UUACCAAAAGAAAUUAAGUUCCUUCUAUGUUUAGGAACAUACACCACUUUAUUAAGCGUCUUUAAGUUUUCAUCAUGCAGUUUUAUCUUCAAACUAUUAAUACCUUCAACCUUCAUCUUUUGACCAUUAGCGAACUUUCACUAACUCUUAUUUCUUCUCACCAAUUACAUCAAGUCACUCUCUUUUUGAGCAAAUAUGAAAUGGGCAAACAGAGUCCAUUAAC
rnacentral:misc_RNA from 1 species